ACCAUCCUUUUCUUGGGGUUGUGCUACUGCCCAGUGUGUAGUGAAGACAGCACUGCUAACGCAUUAACAACACACUCGCAUCAACUAAAGCUUUGCUUUACGUUGGUGCAAUUUUUGGAAAA